CCGUGAACAACACGUUAAGCGUCAGAGUGAACGCCAUCUCCUCUUUCGAAGUAAACGCGUAGAGUCCCUGCGCCCUUCCGACAACAUCAACCGUUGAGACAGGGUCGAGCGUCAGUGGAUUGUCGAAAGUAUAAGUGCGACCGAAUUGCGUGGCGGAGGAAUUGGUCGAGGGCGCCUCAGCUAUAACGACUGACGUUGGGUUCGGACCGGUGAAAUUCUCGUGCCAGUAGACUCGAAGGUGGGUCUGUAUGGGGUUGAUGAGUUUAGGUGCGGGUUUCUCAUCAAUCACCAAAUCGGUUUGUUGUGCAUGGCACAAAGAGACGACGGAGAGGAAGAUGAGGAGGAUUGUGGUUAAUAAGAGUUUCCCCAUUGGAAUGAAUAAUGGAUCCGAUUACUGAAGAUUUGAAUCGGUGAUUGAAUCUAUAACCACCAAUUAUCCAUAUAUUUAUACUAAAUUGCAUGCAACUUGUUUUUAUUAUUUUGAUAAUAAACUCAAAUGUUUUUAAAAUAUGGAAGUCAAAUGUUUUAUAGUCAAUUAUAUAUUUAUGAAUAGUUUUAAUUGACUACAAUUAGAAUUUCAAUGAAAAUAUAAAAAGUGUGUAGACCAUUUCCCCAUUGCUACUAUUUUUCAAACUUAUAAAUUGUCAUAGAUAGAGGAGAAGAUAAAAUCAAAGCUUAAAUGAUUAAAUAAUUCAAAGAAAUAUUGAAUAUGAGUUUAACAAUUUAACUGUCAAUUUCAUAUACCUACCUCCAUUCAAAAUUCAAACCGUCAAUAAUUCUUGAUUUCAUACAUCUAUUCUGUUAAAAUAAAAUAUCCUUUCAUUUUUUCCCCAAAUACGUCAUUUUCUUCUUUUCUACUCUUGUUUGAAAAUAAGAAGAUGAAGGUUAUGUUAUUUGAUCCGAAAGAUGUAAAAACAUGUUUCACGAACUUAAGUUAAUUUAUAAGCAAAAUGAGCUUAACAAGUUCAAAAACAAGUUCUUGCUCUGAUGAACAAGAUUGGGUUAGGUUUAAGGUUAGGAUUUAUUUGUUUAUCCCUAAAGACUUGCAAUAUCGUAUUUUAUCUGUUUAAAAGAUUUAUUGUUACUGAUUUUGUUUUAAUUAUUCUUUUCAUUUUAAUCAAUAUUUAUAUUUGGCAGGUUUCCUGUGCACUGAAAAAUACACAAAAAAAUUUUAACUAUUAGAUCGACAUUUCGUCGUACAUAAGUUAGUGUCUUUUGUUGUACAUUUUUUUCCGUCAUACAUGUGUUAGUGUCUUGUACAGUAUAUUAUUGUAGCUGUUGGAUUAAAAAUUAAAAGACAUGAUGCACGACGCAUUUUACACUACAAAAAAUCAGCGUAUUUCUGGCGGCCAUUUCUGGCGGCUUGGCCGCCGGUAAGUGGUAUCCUGGCGGCUAAGCCGUCGGUAUGCCAUCGCCAGAAGUAAUGUCGCCAGCUUGGUCAUUUUCAGGCGGCCAGGCCGCUGGUAAUGUUUUUUGGAAUCCGAUUGUUCAUCGAAACUGCUAGCGGCUUAGCCGCUAAUAAUUUUCUGGCGGCUAGGCCGCCGGGAUAAUCUACCCGGCAAAAAAAAAUUUAAAAACAAAAAAAUUUAAAACCCUAAAUAAUAAAAUCAAAACCCUGAUAAUUAAUCUCAAAUUAAAAAAUAAAACCCUAAAACUUAAACAUCAUAUACAUAAACCCCCAAAAUAAUAUCAUCAAAUCCCCAAAUGAAAUCCACAAAUACAUAAAACAUCAUAUACAUAAACCCCCAAAAUACAAGAUACACACAUAACACAUAUAAGACUUAAAUUUAAAAAUUAUACAAACCUUCAAAACACCGACCGGGAGAUGUCCGACGGAAAAACAGUUCGGCGGAUGACCGGCGAUGAAGAAAUCCAACCUAUAACAAAAUAAUUAAAACCCCAAUUAAAUUAAUUAAUUAAUCUGUAAUUAAAUAAAUUCAAACAGUAAAACUAAAUAAAUAAAACUAAAAUGAAAUAAAACUAAAAAUAAAUAAACUAAAACAGUAAAACUAAAACUAAAUAAAUAAAACUUAAACUAACUAAAUAAACUUAAACUAAAUAAAACUAAAACUACAAAAUAACAUACAUAAAUCAACCUAUUUUAUCAACAUACAUAACAUACAUAAACAUACAUAACUCAACAUACAUAAAUAUAGUAAAUCAACUUUAAUUUAACUUCACUUCAUGCAUUUCAUUUAAUUUAACCAUAAACAUACAUAAAUCCGAUAAACUUCAUUUUAUUUCAUUCAUUUUUUUCAUUUAAUUUAACUAUUUCAUUUCAUCAAGAUACAUAAAUCAACCAUAAACUUAACCCUAAUUAAAUCAUAAACUUAACCCCUAAUUAAAACAGUAAAUCAAAUCUAAUUAAAUCAACCAAAAAAUAACUAAUUUCAAAACCUAACAUCUAACCAUAAAAUAAAACCCCCAAAUACAUAAACCCCCAAAUAAAACCCCCAAAUACAUAAACCUCCAAAAAGAUAAAUCCCUAAUUAAAUCAAACACCAAUAAAUCAAAUGAAGAACAAAAGAUAAAUAAAAAAGAUUAAAUGUAGAUUAAAUGAAAAAUAUUAAAUGAAAAAGAAGAAGAAGAAGAAGAAGAAGAAGAAAAAGAAAAAGAAGAGAUGAAAAAUAAGAGGACAAGAUCGAAGAAGAAGAAGAAGAAGAAGAUGGAGAAGAAGAAGAGGAGGAAGAUGAAGAAGGAGAGUAAAAUACCUUGGAAAGAUGACCAGAUGUGCUCAAAUCGUCGGAGAAGAGUUGGGGAGGAGUUGGUAGAAGUUGGGAGAAAUGAAAGAAAUCUGGAAAUUUUAUAGUUAAGUUAUAGUUGACUAGGGUUGACUGUAUGGGGAACCACGGCGGCGCAAAUGGGAAAUUUUUAGGGUUUCCUGAAAUUCCUGGCGGCCUGGCUGCCAGAAAAUUUCUCUCAAUUACAUGGGGAAAAUUUUCUGGCGGCCUGGCCGCCGAUAACUUAACAAAAAAAGGUCCCGGCGGCCUGGCCACCAGCUCAUUUCUCACAUUUAAGCGGGGAAAAUUGUACCGGCGGACUAGUGUUAUUUUCCGGCGGCCUGGCCGCUGGUCCUAACUACCGGCGGCCAGGCCGCCAGGAAGUGGCCGCCAGAAAUACGUUGGUUUUUUGUAGUGUUAGUACACCGACGUACGCGCAUCUGAAAAUUACUGUAUUUAUAUUUUAUCAUUUUCUUUUAGUGUGUCAUUUUUUUUUUAAUUUUACCUAUAAUGACACAAAUUUUACACGAUUAAUAAUAAAUUUGAUUUAAUGUUUAAAUUUUGAACACGAUUGAUAAUAUUAUCAGUUUAAUAUUUGUUUAUUUAAACACAACAUGUAAAUAAAAACACGACAUUAAUUAGAAAAAACUAAACAAUUAUUAAAAAUGGCCGAGCCUACCAAGAUCAGGUGCGGUCAGAUUGGGUGUUGUCGAUCGGCCGCCUGAUCCUGGUCCUCCAAAAUGGAUCUUAUAAUCAAACAAAAAUAAUAAAUUUGAUUUAAUGUUGAAAUUUUGAACACGAUUGAUAAUAUUAUCAGUUUAAUAUUUGGUUAUUUAAACACAACAUGUAAAUAAAAACACGACAUUAAUUAGAAAAAACUAAACUAUUAUUAAAAAUGGCCGAGCCUCCCAAGAUCAGGUGCGAUCAGAUUGGGUGUUGUCGAUCGGCCGCCUGAUCUUGGUCCUCUAAAAUGGAUCUUAUAAUCAAACAAAAAUAAUAAAUUUGAUUAAAUGUUGAAAUUUUGAACACGAUUGAUAAUAUUCUCAGUUUAAUAUUUGUUUAUUUAAACACAACAUGUAAAUAAAAACACGACGUUAAUUAGAAAAAACUAAACUAUUAUUAAAAAUGCCCGAGCCUCCCAAGAUCAGGUGCGGUCAGAUUGGGUGUUGUCGAUCGGCCGCCUGAUCCUGGUCCUCUAAAAUGGAUCUUAUAAUCAAACAAAAAUAAUAAAUUUGAUUAAAUGUUGAAAUUUUGAAAACGAUUGAUAAUAUUAUCAGUUUAAUAUUUGUUUAUUUAAACACAACAUGUAAAUAAAAACACGACAUUAAUUAGAAAAAACUAAACUAUUAUUAAAAAUGGCCGAGCCUCCCAAGAUCAGGUGCGGUCAGAUUGGGUGUUGUCGAUCGGCCGCCUGAUCCUGGUCCUCCAAAAUGGAUCUUAUAAUUAAACAAAAAUAAUAAAUUUGAUUUAAUGUUGAAAUUUUGAACACGAUUAUUAAUAUUAUCAGUUUAAUAUUUGUUUAUUUAAUCACAACAUGUAAAUAAAAACACGACAUUAAUUAGAAAAAACUAAACUAUUAUUAAAAAUGGCCCAGCCGCCCAAGAUUAGGUGCGGUCAGAUUGGGUGUUGUCGAUCGGCCGCCUGAUCCUGGUCCUCCAAAAUGGAUCUUAUAAUCAAACAAAAAUAAUAAAUUUGAUUUAAUGUUGAAAUUUUGAACACGAUUGAUAAUAUUAUCAGUUUAAUAUUUGUUUAUUUAAACACAACAUGUAAAUAAAAACACGACAUUAUUAGAAAAAACUAAACUAUUAUUAAAAAUGCCCGAGCCUCCCAAGAUCAGGUGCGGUCAGAUUGGGUGUUGUCGAUCGGCCGCCUGAUCCUGGUCCUCCAAAAUGGAUCUUAUAAUCAAACAAAAAUAAUAAAUUUGAUUUAAUGUUGAAAUUUUGAACACGAUUGAUAAUAUUAUCAGUUUAAUGUUUGUUUAUUUAAACACAACAUGUAAAUAAAAACACGACAUUAAUUAGAAAAAACUAAACUAUUAUUAAAAAUGGACGAGCCUCCCAAGAUCAGGUGCGGUCAGAUUGGGUGUUGUCGAUCGGCCGCCUGAUCCUGGUCCUCCAAAAUGGAUCUUAUAAUCAAACAAAAAUAAUAAAUUUGAUUUAAUGUUGAAAUUUUGAACACGAUUGAUAAUAUUAUCAGUUUAAUAUUUGGUUAUUUAAACACAACAUGUAAAUAAAAACACGACAUUAAUUAGAAAAAACUAAACUAUUAUUAAAAAUGGCCGAGCCUACCAAGAUCAGGUGCGAUCAGAUUGGGUGUUGUCGAUCGGCCGCCUGAUCUUGGUCCUCCAAAAUGGAUCUUAUAAUCAAACAAAAAUAAUAAAUUUGAUUUAAUGUUGAAAUUUUGAACACGAUUGAUAAUAUUAUCAGUUUAAUAUUUGUUUAUUUAAACACAACAUGUAAAUAAAAACACGACAUUAAUUAGAAAAAACUAAACUAUUAUUAAAAAUGGACGAGCCUCCCAAGAUCAGGUGCGGUCAGAUUGUGUGUUGUCGAUCGGCCGCCUGAUCCUGGUCCUCCAAAAUGGAUCUUAUAAUCAAACAAAAAUAAUAAAUUUGAUUUAAUGGUGAAAUUUUGAAGACGAUGGAUAAUAUUAUAAGUUUAAUGUUUGUUUAUUUAAACACAACAUGUAAAUAAAAACACGACAUUAAUUAGAAAAAACUAAACUAUUAUUAAAAAUGGACGAGCCUCCCAAUAUCAGGUGCGGUAAGAUUGGGUGUUGUCGAUCGGCCGCCUGAUCCUGGUCCUCCAAAAUGGAUCUUAUAAUCAAACAAAAAUAAUAAAUUUGAUUUAAUGUUGAAAUUUUGAACACGAUUAAUAAUAUUAUCAGUUUAAUAUUUGUUUAUUUAAUCACAACAUGUAAAUAAAAAGACGACAUUAAUUAGAAAAAACUAAACUAUUAUUAAAAAUGGCCGAGCCUCCCAAGAUCAGGUGCGGUCAGAUUGGGUGUUGUCGAUGGGCCGCCUGAUCCUGGUUCUUCAAAAUGGAUCUUAUAAUCAAACAAAAAUAAUAAAUUUGAUUUAAUGUUGAAAUUUUGAACACGAUUGAUAAUAUUAUCAGUUUAAUAUUUGUUUAUUUAAACACAACAUGUAAAUAAAAACACGACAUUAAUUAGAAAAAACUAAACUAUUAUUAAAAAUGGCCGAGCCUCCCAAGAUCAGGUGCGGUCAGAUUGGGUGUUGUCGAUCGGCCGCCUGAUCCUGGUCCUCCAAAAUGGAUCUUAUAAUCAAACAAAAAUAAUAAAUUUGAUUUAAUGUUGAAAUUUUGAACACGAUUGAUAAUAUUAUCAGUUUAAUAUUUGUUUAUUUAAACACAACAUGUAAAUAAAAACACGACAUUAAUUAGAAAAAACUAAACUAUUAUUAAAAAUGGCCCAGUCGCCCAAGAUCAGGUGCGGUCAGAUUGGGUGUUGUCGAUCGGCCGUUUGAUCCUGGUCCUCAAAAAUGGAUCUUAUAAUCAAACAAAAAUAAUAAAUUUGAUGACUCUUCAAUCAAAACAUAAUCAUCUUUAUUCAUAAUAUAAUAUUCCUCCACAUAAAUCCAAGUUUUAUUACAUAUUUGAUAAUUAUAUAUAAAUUUAUAAUCAAUAGUGAUUAACAAAAAGAUCGUAUUUGAUAACAUUAUUAAAAGUGGCUGGAUCGAAAGAAGUACGUUGCACCGAAGAAUACCCAGUGGCGUACUUGAACACACCACUUCCUCCGACAAUAGGGAUCUCCUUUACCGUGUUAUCAACAUUAACCCGACCGUAAACCAGUAUAGUACUUCCGUUGUACUUCUCCUUUGUGAACAACACGUUAAGCGUCAGAGUGAACGCCAUCUCCUCUUUGGAAGUAAACGCGUAGAGUCCCUGCGCCCUUCCGACAACAUCAACCGUUGAGACAGGGUCGAGCGUCAGUGGAUUGUCGAAAGUAUAAGUGCGACCGAAUUGCGUGGCGGAGGAAUUGGUCGAGGGCGCCUCAGCUAUAACGACUGACGUUGGGUUCGGAUCGGUGAAAUUCUCGUGCCAGUAGACUCGAAGGUGGGUCUGUAUGGGGUUGAUGAGUUUAGGUGCGGGUUUCUCAUCAAUCACCAAAUCGGUUUGUUGUGAAUAGCACAAAGAGACGACGGAGAGGAAGAUGAGGAGGAUUGUGGUUAAUGAGAGCUUCCCCAUUGGAAUGAAUAAUGGAUCCGAUUACUGAAGAUUUGAAUCGGUGAUUGAAU
rnacentral:lncRNA from 1 species